rnacentral:lncRNA from 1 species
AGGUUUUGUAAAACGCGCAGUCAGCGCCUGAGUAGUUCCAGCCCCUCACCGUAACGUCACCGCCAUCGGCGACGCUGUGAGGUGUUCCAGGAGUGAAACUUCUUCUGUUGCUAUAUGCUGUGUCAGCACUGGGAGGCUCCACUGAUUCUCUGUGCUGAUGUAAGUGAAGCAGCAGAAACUGUUUACAGAGAGAAGACUACAAAAAUGCUAUGAAAGUGCUACAAGUGGAUGGGAUGUGUCAUGAAACACAAGGGCAUUUGUUGUGACGAUCGGAGUUGCUUUACUAGUUACAGCAAAAGUACCUCAUCCUCCUGGAAAGCACUCCAUAUUUCAAAUUACAAAGUCAACUUCGGGGUAGACCUGAGAAGUGUGUAG